rnacentral:tRNA from 1 species
UGGCAAAGUGGUUAAAGCAUUUGACUGAUAAUCAGAAAGUUGGUGAUUUGAACCCACC